UACGUAGGGGGCGAGCGUUUGUCCGGAUUUAUUGGGCGUAAAGAGCUCGUAGGCGGUUUGGCAAGUCGGGUGUGAAAACUCCGGGCUCAACUCGGAGACGCCACUCGAUACUGCUAUGACUCGAGUCCGGUAGGGGAGUGCGGAAUUCCUGGUGUAGCGGUGAAAUGCGCAGAUAUCAGGAGGAACACCGGUGGCGAAGGCGGCACUCUGGGCCGGUACUGACGCUGAGGAGCGAAAGCGUGGGGAGCGAACAGG
rnacentral:rRNA from 1 species